rnacentral:rRNA from 1 species
UGCAGAAUCCCGUGAACCAUCGAGUCUUUGAACGCAAGUUGCGCCCGAAGCCGUUAGGCCAAGGGCACGUCUGCCUGGGCGUCU